rnacentral:rRNA from 1 species
AUUGAACGCUGGCGGCAGGCCUAACACAUGCAAGUCGAACGGUAACAGGAAGAACCUUGCUUCUUUGCUGUCGCGUGGCGGAGGUGUGUGACAUGUCGGUGACACUGCUUUAUGGCGGGGGAUAACUAGUGGAAACGGUACCUAUACCCGCAUAACUUCGCAACAGCAUAGAGCGGGACUUUCGGACCGCUUUCCAUCGGCUGUGACCAGAUGGGAUUAGCUAGUAGGUGGGGUAACGGCUCACCUAGGCGACGAUCCCUAGCUGGUCUGAGAGGAUGACCAGCCACACUGGAACUGAGACACGGUCCAGACUCCUACGGGAGGCAGCAGUGGGGAAUAUUGCACAAUGGGCGAAAGCCUGAUGCAGCCAUGCCGCGUGUAUGAAGAAGGCCUUCGGGUUGUAAAGUACUUUUAGUGGGGAAGAAGAGAGUAAAGUUAAUACCUGUGCUCAUUGACGGUACCCGAAGAAGAAGCACCGGCUAACUACGUG